ACUCAAAUGAAUUGACGGGGACCCGCACAAGCGGUGGAGCAUGUGGUUUAAUUCGACGAUACGCGAAGAACCUUACCUGGGUUUGACAUGUUAGGGAAUCCGGCCCAGAAGCCGGAGUGCCUUCGGGAGCCCUAUCACAGGUGCUGCACGGCUGUCGUCAGCUCGUGUCGUGAGAUGUUGGGUUAAGUCCCGCAACGAGCGCAACCCCUGCCUUUAUUUGCCACCGGUUCGGCCGGGAACUAUAGAGGGAUUGCCCCGGUAAACGGGGAUGAAAGAGGGGACGACGUCAAGUCCUCAUGGCCCUUACGCCCAGGGCUACACACGUGCUACAAUGAUCGGUACAGAGGGUUGCCAACCCGCGAGGGGGAGCCAAUCCCAGAAAACCGACCUCAGUUCGGAUUGUAGUCUGCAACUCGACUACAUGAAGCCGGAAUCGCUAGUAAUCGCGGAUCAGCUACGCCGCGGUGAAUACGUUCCCGGGUCUUGCACACACCGCCCGU
rnacentral:rRNA from 1 species